GAGGGUAUAGCUCAGUGGUAGAGUACCUGCUUAGCAUGCACAAGGUCCUGGGUUCAAUCCCCAAUACUACCA
rnacentral:tRNA from 1 species